CCGGCCUGGAGGUGCGGAAGUUCGCCGCCGCUGUUCAUUGGCAGGCAGCGCCGCUUUCAUCAUUUCUCAGAAAAGUCAAUUUCAUUUUCACUUACCCACGUCGCGGCAGCGGGAGCAACAAGCGGCUGCGCCAUGCAGGGCUCUUAGUUCCCUGACCAGGAGUCGAACCUGUGGCCCCUGCAGUGGAAGCACGGACUCUUACCCACUGGACCGCCGGGGAAGUCCCUCUAGAUGGACAUCCUAGGACCGUCUACCUGGAUGCAUCAGAACUCAUUUCUUUUCGAGGGAGUCGAGAAAGGACUGGUUACUUGGCCAUGCAGCAAUUGACCUCUCCAUGAUUGAAGCUUAAAGAUACAUUCAAGGGGACCAGGAUGUAUUAUAAAGAAUGAAGAUAAAGAUGAAAAGAAAGGUUCCUAUUUUGAUCUCCUUUUUGCAAAGACAACAGUGGACACCCCGAAAAAAGUUUGAAUUUGAAAGGAUAAAGGUGUAGAUAUGAAGCUGUUAAUAAUGGUCACCUUAAGGACAGGCCUCUCACUGUUGUGGCCUCUCCCGCUGCGGAGCACAGGCUCUGGACGCGCAGGCUCAGCGGCCAUGGCUCAGGGGCCCAGCCGCUCCGUGGCAUGUGGGAUCUUCCCGGACCGGGGCACAAACCCGCGUCCCCUGCGUCGGCAGACGGACUCCCAACCACUGCGCCACCAGGGAAGCCCAAUAGACUCUUCUUGAGUGUCCACUAUGUUUAUGUCACUUCAGGGCCCUUCUGGUAAGAGUGCUUUAACCCAGAGCCACCUAAUAGACCCACGAUGGAGACACUUUUAAGCAGGCUGGCAUUUCACUUCCCUAUAAGAGCCUCCUGCUUUCCCUAUGGGAAAGGCCCGUCGUGGCCCUUUCUGUGUAUAUCUGCUACCUGAAAGGUAAGGAGGAGUUUCCUGAAGUGUAAAGCUGGGGGAAUAAAGGCUGUUGCUCUCAUGCCAGCCUGAGCCCUGCUCUUGUUAAGGGUUCUCUGCUUCACCCUGAUGGAUUCUCCUACAGCAUCUUACAAAGCGACACGGCUUCCCCUCCAGGCAGGCUGGAUGCAUUCACCGGAGGGAAGCAAGCAGCUGCUGGAGUCUGGCCCCCUGAGUACACUUUGAGAAGGUGCUGUGUGCGUUUCUGUUCAGCAUUACUUGUAUGUCCAUGAUAUCAGUUCAGUGGCCUCAGGACAAGGAGGGACCUUAGUCCAGUUUUCUCUGUACCUAUUCUGAGGAUGAUUCACCGAGUGAUAGGUGCCCAUUACAUCAGCAUGACACCUUCAUCAGUCAAGCACAAAAAUAAAUGAUUCCACGUGGUAAACAACGAAGCGUAGUAAGGAUACCAAAGAACGGCUCAGGCUUCCUGCAGGUAGUGGGAUUUGAGCUGUACCUUAAAGAAUAGGGUAAAAAUAAAUAAGCAAUUAAAACAACUAUACCCCAAUAAAAAAAAUUAAAAUAAAAAAAAUGCUCACACAAUAAAUAAAUGAGAAAUUAAAAAUA